CGAAGCUGCGGCAGCGACACUAUGUGUUGUUGGGUAGGGGAGCGUUCUGUAAGCCUGCGAAGGUGUGCUGUGAGGCAUGCUGGAGGUAUCAGAAGUGCGAAUGCUGACAUAAGUAACGAUAAAGCGGGUGAAAAGCCCGCUCGCCGGAAGACCAAGGGUUCCUGUCCAACGUUAAUCGGGGCAGGGUGAGUCGACCCCUAAGGCGAGGCCGAAAGGCGUAGUCGAUGGGAAACAGGUUAAUAUUCCUGUACUUGGUGUUACUGCGAAGGGGGGACGGAGAAGGCUAUGUUAGC
rnacentral:rRNA from 1 species